rnacentral:RNase_P_RNA from 1 species
GCGGAUGGCUGGAUGGCUGCGGCAGCAAUGUCGAGGAAAGUCCGGACUCCACAAAGCACGGUGCCGGGUAACGCCCGGCGGGGAUAACCCCAGGGAAAGCGCCACAGAGAACAGACUACCUGACAUGUCAGGAAAAGGUGAAACGGUGGGGUAAGAGCCCACCGCGCGCUGGGCAACCAGGGCGGCACGGCAAGCCCCACCGGGAGCAAUGCCAAAUAGGGACCGCGUGCGGCGUUGAUCCGGCAACGGAUAUCACCCGCAGGGAGGCUUGAACCCGAGCGGUCCGGGUUGGCAGCUAGAGGGGGUCUGGUAACAGGCCCCCCAGAUGAAUGGUCAUCCAACCGCCGGUAUCGGCGGGGGACAGAAUCCGGCUUAUAGGCCAUCCGCGCAG